GGUUAGAGAUCAUCAAAAUGUAAACAAGAAAUUCAUAAGAAAAACAAAAAAAGUGUAUACGACUUAUGCUUUAAAUAAUAUGUUCGUGAGAAGAAGUACUCCAUUAAGUAACACCAAAUCUAAUUGAAUCGAGCUUAUAUAUUAUUUGGACAAACACAACUUUGCCUAGUCUUUGCAGGUGUUUACUUAAAAAUUUAUAGAAAGGAACGUCCUGGCAGCACUUUUGUUCCGUCAUUUGCUUCAUUUCCAAAACGUCACUUUUUGUUUACGUUCCUAUUCGUAAUUGAAGGAUUGUUAAAAAAAAAGUUUGCCAGUUUUUGCUCGUUUGAACAAUUGUUACAAAGCAAGGAAAAAUAUUAAAUAUCCAAUAAAAUAAAGUAAUAUAUUUAUUAAAAGAUUCAUCUUACUGGUGUACACUUGUUAUACAUUCUUAUAGUUUAGUUUCUGGACUUCUCCUCAUUCUUUGAAGGAAUAUACACACAAUAAUGACUGAGGCAAAAAAGAACGCACUUACAGCUGCUUAUCGUGCACAUAAAUCUCUGCAAUUGGAAUUGACCGACUUUGAGGAUAAUACAGCAUUUGCUGCACACUUGGUAGAACAAUUACGGCGUCUGCCCACCGACAGCCGUGUUAAUGCUAUGGCCGGCAUAUUGGCAAUACUGAAUCGCUUUGUACGUGUACAAGGGGAAACUCAGUAAGCAAUUCGCAUGGAGAUUUGUUUCGUUAGUUCAUCGUCCGCACACUGCGUGCCUAUAAGGAUAACUGAUGAGGACGGUGACGGCGAAACUGAAAUAUGUUAAGGGAAAUGUGUUGCUAAAAGCAUCGACUUUUUGAGGUGUUCCUAAUGUGCGGUUAUAUAUUUUGUUGUGUGUCCUGUUUUCUUGUAAGGAAGGCAAUGACAUGUGCUACCAAUUUUCUUUUAUAGAACUCUAUUGAAAGUGUGACAUCGAUGUUCGAGUUAUGGAGGAGUAUAAUCUAAUAGUUAGCAUGAUUUUCCGAUUCAUCACAAACAUUCAUACAUAUAUUUUUGUUACAUUAAAACACAUCGAAAACACUGUAAUAAGUAUUUAAUUUAAUAUAUAGAAUAUAUCAAUAAUUUUGCAAAAUAAUAUGAUUUAAAUAAUCAAA